ACGUCUCCCAAAGUACUGUGGACCCUUCUGCAGACAACAAGGCUUCCGGCAGCAAGAAGAGGCUGUUAGCAGUGGCGUUCUUCUUGGCUAUCCUCGUGGCCUUGCUCACCAUCUUCUUCGUAUUCUCAGGCACCUCGUCUUCAUCGGCCGCACAUGCUGCUGGAGAUGAUGACGACACGACCAGCCAACCACCCUCGUCGUACGCCGGCGGGAACGGAGGGGGGGCCUCGGGUGGAAAGAAUACACCACC
rnacentral:lncRNA from 1 species